rnacentral:rRNA from 1 species
UACGGAGGAGGCUAGCGUUGUUCGGAAUUACUGGGCGUAAAGCGUGCGUAGGCGGUUUUCUAAGAUGAGUGUGAAAGCCCGGAGCUCAACUCCGGAACUGCGCUCAUGACUGGAAUACUGGAGUCCGAGAGAGGUGAGUGGAAUUCCCAGUGUAGAGGUGAAAUUCGUAGAUAUUGGGAAGAACACCAGUGGCGAAGGCGGCUCACUGGCUCGGUACUGACGCUGAUGCACGAAAGCGUGGGGAGCAAACAGGAUUAGAUACCCUGGUAGUCCACGCCGUAAACUAUGAGUGCUAGAUGUUGGGGGGCUUGCCUCUCAGUGUCGAAGCUAACGCGAUAAGCACUCCGCCUGGGGAGUACGGCCGCAAGGUUA